ensembl:processed_transcript Gm14858 predicted gene 14858
AGUUUUCUGCAGGGCUUCCUCCGAGCCGGUUUGCUCUUUUUGAGCUAUGUCUUCUCAUCGUGGAAUGGCCGAGGUUGGCGUGUCCCUUACCCCCUAAACUCCCUACAUUUUGUGCAGGGGCACUUAGAGAGAUCAUAUGGCAGCGGUGGCUUCCCUCAAGGCCCAAGGUUGGUUUCAAGGCUUUCUGUCCUGUGGUCAUCCAGGGCAGAAGGAGGCUGGCAGGAUGCGACGACGCUGGGAAAUGCUGUUCUACCGGACCGUGGGGCUAGGUGCAUGCAUGCAACUCACAUGGCUCACGGAAAAGCCAAGAACAGGCAGCGGGUUCGAAAAGAUUGCCACUGAGUUCGCAGAGAUUCCUCUUGCCACGAUGCCAGGAUCGCAAAGUGUCCUUAAUUUGCUCUUCUAACAGAGUCGUGUUUGUUGAUGAAAUGACCGGCUUGCUGACAAAGAGGGGGCACAAAUGGAGGCACAGAAUUAGGCCCUUCUUUGGCAUUUGGAGGAAGCUGGGUGUAUGUGUGGAGGUCAGAGGAUAGCUUCCCAUGUCAGUCCUGGGGAUGUCACUCAGGCCAUCAGACUCAUUCUAUCUGCUCAGUCAUCUCAUCAGCACAGUAUCUUCAUCUUCAUCUCCUUUUCUUCCUCCUCCUUUUUUUUGUUUUUUGUUUUUUUUUUGUUUUUGUGUUUUUCGAGACAGGGUCUCCCUCUGUAGCCCUGGCUGUCCUGAAGCUCACUAUGUGGACCCAGGUGAUCUCAAACUCAGAGACUUACCUGUCACUGCCCUCUGAGUGCUGGGAUUAAAAGUGUGUACUGCCACAUCUGGUUUAUUUUUCUUAUAAGUAAAUGUACAUUUAUAUUUAAUAAGCUCCCUAAGAGUAGAUUUUACUUUUUUAUUGUUUAUUUGAGGUGAUAUAUUACUAUGUAGCCUAGAAAGGCCUCAAACUUUCAGUUGUUUGGCCUCAGCCUCUUAAGCACUUGGGACCACUUUUUGUUGAAAUUAUAUGUACAUAGAAAAAAAUGUUGUAUGCAAAGACACCAAAAUGUUGUGAUUAUAACUGAGUAGUUACCGGUAUUAUGGAUAUUUUUCUUUUUCUUUUUUAACUGUUUUUUUGCAGUAUGAUUACAUUGUUUUCUCACAAUUAGAACAGAUUUAUAACUUGAAAAGUGCAUAAUCAGUACUAUUCUACUUGUAGUAAAAUUAUGAAUGCAAAUUGAAAAAAAUGGGAAGGAAGUAUAUUGAACUAUUAACAGUCUUUAUAUUAGUUGCUAAGGGAUUGUGGGUAAUUUCUUCUCAUUUUUCUGUAAUAUAGUCUUAUUAUUUUUAUAAUUAAANNNNNNNNNNNNNNNNNNNNNNNNNNNNNNNNNNNNNNNNNNNNNNGUUAAAAAUUAAUAUGUGCAUAGAAAAACUAAUAGGUUAUUUUGAAAUAUGUUUGUCUUUGUGUGGUAGGGUAUGACUAUUUUUUUCUUUAUAAAUUGUUUCUUCAUUUUCCAAAUUUUCUACAGCUAUCAUGUAUUAUUUUUAAUUGUGAAAAAUGUAAAUAUUUAUAAAGCAGUUUAAUAUUGUAGUUUUUAUGAGGAAAGGGUGCCUAUCUGGGAUUUGCUUUGAAGCCAGAGGAGAGUGGGGGUGGGGACCAUAGAUCAAAUGAGAGAAUUGUUGACUAUAGGUGCAUGAGGCUGCAUUGUGAUGUUUUCUUUGUGAAUGCUUGAAUUUUUCAUAAUGAAUAUUGUUCUUAAGAAGCCUCUUUCACAAAAACCAUUUCUUUUUAAUUCU